GACAGGUGAGACAUGCCUGAGGGGGCUGUCUUUUCUCUCUGCCUCCCUGCGUGGGUCACUCUGGAUGGGACUUGUGUGUCCAUCCUCCAGCCUUCUGCAGUGAUUCUGCGCUGGAAUCAUCCUCACCAUCUGGACUGCAAACAUCUUCCUCCCUCCACCUGCCCCAUCUUGGCCUGCAGGGCCCUUGCCUGCAUCUCCCGCCUUCUGGAGCUCCUCCUGCCUCGGCAAGCUCACCAGUGCAGGGCAGGAACUGCUGCUUGUAGGCUCUGGGCGCCUCCUGCUGCUCUAGAGUCUGGUGCCAAUUCUCUAGGCUUUUAUUUGCCUGUUUCAGAGCCACGCCCUCUUGGAGAUCAGCUUUCAGGCGCCUCCUGGGCUGAGCCCUUGGAGCAGUCCACCUGGGAGAUCCUUGCUCUGAGGUCCAGGACUGGGGGAAGUAAGGUGUGGAGAAGAGCCCAGGAGCUGGGGGAGGGUGCAGCAUGUGCACCUGGGGAGAGGGCUCAAGACUCAGUUGAGCUGUGGUCACUUGUGUCCUCUCUGCUGUGUGAACUUGGUCAGGACACUACCCCAGCCUAAAAAACUCCUAAAACAAGCCUUGCCCAUUUCUUUUAUGACUACAAAGGAAAGAGAUUGCAGGAG
rnacentral:lncRNA from 1 species